ensembl:lncRNA
GUACCAAACGUCUGAAGAUAUUUUUUUCUGGGUCAAAACUAUCUCCUUUUCCCUGUUGCACAAAUGAGCGAGUCAUUUAGGUUAGCAGGAUACUCUUCGGAAGAGAAAAAGUCUCCUUAAGGGAAUUCAGACUCAUUGGUACUUUCAUGAGAAUUACUGUCAUCAAGAAAACAACUUCUAGCUGGCACCCUGGAAGCUGGAAGAUUUGAAGUCUGAUGGAAGGUUUUUUCUAAUUUUAUGUUUCUGAAAAUUGAUGUGAACAUAUGAUUCGGAGACACCGGUUUGGUCCCUGGUCUGGGAAGAUCCCACAUGCCAAGGAGCAACUAAACCUGCACGCCACAACCACUGAGCCUGUGCGCUAGAGCCCGGGAACCCCAACCACUGAGCCUACUUGGCUGCAACUAGUGAAGCCCGAGCACCCGAGAGCCCGUGCUCUGCAGCAAGAGAAGUCACUUCAAUGAGAAGCCUGCACCCUGCACCUAGAGAGUAGCCCCCACUCGCCAUGACCAGAGAAAACCCACGCAUGGCAAGGAAGCGCAGCUAAAAAUAAAAAGAGAGAAGAGCAGUGUGGAUCACACACCAGCGACAUCAUCGUGUUCUGAUGGAUUCGGGGGAAAGCUGCUUGCAAGCUGUGUGUGUCAGUUCAUCUCCAUUUGCUCUGCCCUCAAAUCCCUUCCCUGCCUUGCUUGGCACCUGGGAGGGCUGUGGUCCCGAACAAUCACAUCACCUGGGCUGCCUCGCGCCCCACUCUCUGUUGUGAUCAGUCAGUGAGCACUACCCAGGAGCCCGCAGUGGGGGAGAAGUUGGGGUGUUUCUUCUCUGUCCAUCCCCGUGCUGGCCCUACAUUGAUGACCGUGUGACCGCCCUCUCUGGGGCCGCAGUCCCACCUUCACUGCCCUCUGCUCAGGCCCGGGGUGGGUGGCUUCGGCUGUUGCUGGUCUCUGGGGGUUAGUCUCUUUAGUUCUGCCCACACCCUCUUUCAAGUCUCUGCAGGUGAACCACCUGAAUGGAAUUCUCUUUUCACUAUCUCAUCUGAUGCCGCCGACUGUGCUACAUUCAAGAGGAUCUGAUUCAGUGCAGUUGAGCUCCUAACAUCCCCCCGGACUUUGUUCCUCACCACGUACUGCCCCUCAUUGAGACCGCUUUAGUCACCAGUCCCCCCAGGCCAAGGGGCAGACUCUGGAGGCUUUCCUCGGAGGCCCGCCUGCUCCCCCUCACCCACGCCCCUCCCCUCGACCUCCAACCCCUCCUCUCCUCCUGCCCUGCAGCCCACCUCAAACCCCAGCCCCCAACCCCCAGUCUCCUUUCCUACAGGGUUUUCCUCUCCUGCAGGACUUUUUUGUAAAAUGACCAGAAGGACUUUAUCAUCCCACCUUUUCUUUUUCUCUUUUUUGUUUUACGGGUGGUGUCCUGUAUAAGCACCAUCCCACCCCCUCAUGGAGAAGGUGGAUUUCCAUCUCCCACAGCCCUCGCUGCCCCUGCUCUCGUUCGCCUCUCUGCUGGAGCUCUCUGCGCCCCCCACCCCAUCUCUGGUCGCUCCCUUUCCCACGACCUUGGCAGUGGGCCAGGCAUCUGCUGCGUUGUGAGAGGAUGGAUUCUAUGACCCGUCUCUGACCAUCCCCUUCAGUCUGGGCUGUGUCCUUUGGAAGCACAGCCCCUACACCCCCGCACUGGACACAGAAGCCAUGGUCCCACUGUCUUUGAAUUAGGGUCCAGCCCCCUUGGACGGGGCCCUGGCUCCCACUUCCUUGUCUCUUGCUUCUUUUUCUCACAGGCCUCCUCUGCUUAAGACAAUUCAGGACACCUGAUGGUCAACAAAUCUUCCCUCUUCCCGCC